rnacentral:rRNA from 1 species
GCCAGCAGCCAUAUCACCCUGUAACUCACAACUGGCAACCCACUGAAGCUAAGCAGUAUGAGCAGGUGUGAGCCUGGUCAGUACCUGGAUGAGAGACCUCCUAGGAAAAACUAAGGUUGCUGCUGGAA